rnacentral:rRNA from 2 species
AGAGUUUGAUCCUGGCUCAAGAUCAGUCGUAACAAGGUAGCCAGAGUUUGAUCCUGGUUCGAGAGAGUGGUAAACUGGUGACCAACACGUGGGAAACCUGCCCAGAAGCGGGGGAUAACACCUGGAAACAGAUGCUAAUACCGCAUAACAACUUGGACCGCAUGGUCCGAGUUUGAAAGAUGGCUUCGGCUAUCACUUUUGGAUGGUCCCGCGGCGUAUUAGCUAGAUGGUGGGGUAACGGCUCACCAUGGCAAUGAUACGUAGCCGACCUGAGAGGGUAAUCGGCCACAUUGGGACUGAGACACGGCCCAAACUCCUACGGGAGGCAGCAGUAGGGAAUCUUCCACAAUGGACGAAAGUCUGAUGGAGCAACGCCGCGUGAGUGAAGAAGGGUUUCGGCUCGUAAAACUCUGUUGUUAAAGAAGAACAUAUCUGAGAGUAACUGUUCAGGUAUUGACGGUAUUUAACCAGAAAGCCACGGCUAACUACGUGCCAGCAGCCGCGGUAAUACGUAGGUGGCAAGCGUUGUCCGGAUUUAUUGGGCGUAAAGCGAGCGCAGGCGGUUUUUUAAGUCUGAUGUGAAAGCCUUCGGCUCAACCGAAGAAGUGCAUCGGAAACUGGGAGAC